GGAGGAAAAGAAACCAACAGGGAUUGCCUCAGUAGCGGCGAGUGAAGCGGCAAGAGCUCAGAUUUGAAAUCGCAGCACCAUGCUGCGAGUUGUAGAUUGCAGGUGGGAGAGUCUGCGUAGGCCGGUGUCGAAGUCCCUUGGAACAGGGCGCCACUGAGGGUGAGAGCCCCGUGCGAUGCCACGCUCUACGUUUUGUACUCCCCUCUGACGAGUCGAGUUGUUUGGGAAUGCAGCUCUAAGUGGGUGGUAAAUUCCAUCUAAGGCUAAAUACUGGCGAGAGACCGAUAGCGAACAAGUACUGUGAAGGAAAGAUGAAAAGCACUUUGAAAAGAGAGUGAAACAGCACGUGAAAUUGUUGAAAGGGAAGGGUAUUGGGCCCGACAUGGGAAUCGCGCACCGCUGCUCCUUGUGGGCGGCGCUCUGGGCUUUUCCUGGGCCAGCAUCGGUUCUUGCUGCAGGAGAAGGGGCUGUGGAAUGUGGCUGCCGCGCUUUGCCGGGGCAGUGUUAUAGCCACUGGGCCAGAUGCUGCGUGUGGGGACCGAGGACUGCGGCCGCAAGGUCUCGGAUGCUGGCACAACGGCGCAAUACCGCCC
rnacentral:rRNA from 1 species